rnacentral:rRNA from 1 species
CGUGUAGGCGGUUUGGCAAGUCAGAUGUGAAAGCCCUGGGCUUAACUCAGGAAGUGCAUUUGAAACUGCCAUACUAGAGUAUGGGAGAGGAGAGUGGAAUUCCCAGUGUAGAGGUGAAAUUCGUAGAUAUUGGGAGGAACACCGGUGGCGAAGGCGACUCUCUGGACCAAUACUGACGCUGAGACGCGAAAGCGUGGGGAGCAAACA